UACGUAGGUGGCAAGCGUUGUCCGGAAUUAUUGGGCGUAAAGCGCGCGCAGCCGGUCUUUUAAGUCUGAUGUGAAAGCCCUCGGCUCAACCGAGGAGGGUCAUUGGAAACUGGAGGACUUGAGUGCAGAAGAGGAAAGUGGAAUUCCAAGUGUAGCGGUGAAAUGCGUAGAGAUUUGGAGGAACACCAGUGGCGAAGGCGACUUUCUGGUCUGUAACUGACGCUGAGGCGCGAAAGCGUGGGGAGCAAACAGG
rnacentral:rRNA from 1 species